rfam:Triticum aestivum genome assembly, contig: Triticum_aestivum_CS42_TGACv1_scaffold_272327_3DS
CUCCUACUCCCUCCGUUCGGAAUUACUUGUCUCGGAAAACGAUGUAUCUAGAACUAAAAUACGUCUAGAUACAUUCAUUUCUGCGACAAGUAAUUUUGAACGCAGGGAGUAGGCA